ACUCCUGCCCUCCACUCACACCCGACUCACUGCCCUCGUUCGCAGCCGCCCUCCAUCCCUUCGCCGCCGCCAAGACCCCGCUGGAUCUCACCGCCGCCGAUCUCCUCGAGAAGACCCUGUCGGAUCUCACCGUCGCCGAUCUCCUAGAGAAGACCCUGCCCGAUCUCACCGCCGUCGAUCUCCUCGCGAAGAUCCCGCCGGAUCUCGCUGCCGCCGUAACUCCAUAAAGCCGCCGCCGCCGAUCCCCUCCAGAAAACCCCGUCAAUCCCCUCCGGAAGACCCCGCCGGAUCUUGCGUCGGGGCCACGGUUCUGGAUCGGCGUCGCAGGGCGGUUUCAACCAGAGCCGGCGGCCUUGAGGAGAGGAGCUCGACGAGCGGGCAGGGUGACCCCAUGCCUUGGAGACGGCGACCCUCAACCCCUUGCUGCUGUGGUGCACUGGGCACAUAUGUGACGAGGAGGAGGCGAGCCACAAUUCAUCACCUUCCUCGUCUCUCUCAUGGCUGUGCACAAGGAUGUCCGCACCCCGAGCCGAGCUCUGUUUGACCGGAGGACAAGCAGAGGAAAGGCGAACAGGGGUGAUGACGUGGCUCCUGAGCAAGGUGAACAUCGCCUUUAAGGCGAGCGGUGGCGGCACCUUAUCUUGGGCCCCUACAAUAAGUAAACUCAACAUGCGUGAUUCUGAUUAGAGGCAACCCGAUCGUUAUUGAACAUAUUGAUGAUUCCUGUUGUGUAUUCUCAAGGAAUGGUCAGGUUUAGUACUGUAACUAUUUUCUUAUCAAAUAUAUUUGGGUGGUGCUCAAAAUGCAGAGCUGAAAAGCAAGAAACGUAAAGCCACCUCUGAAGAUAAGUUCACCAUGCCUCCCAGAGUGUCACCCCGCUUCGUUGAACUUAAUGGAAUAAGAUCAGAUCAGAAUAACCUUUGUAAACUAGGCAACUGAAUCAUUUCAUUGUUGCUUGUCCAUGUAACGAAGAACUAUCAUUUGGGUACCAAGUUCCACUUCAGGCCAGGAAAAUUUCUUAUAACUUCAAAACGGCAAGGGAUGCACCAUUGUCUUCAGGUCUGCCUUGCAGGUUGGAGUGCAGCUUUCAGAUAUCUUUCUUUCCUUGGGAUAGUUGGAAUGGAAUACUAUGACUAGAUAUACAAUGGUAUUGUUAUCAGUGUUCGGCCUUCAAUGAUUUCGGUGCAGCAUGUCUAGACCAUCAACGGCAAUUUGAGCUCCUUAGUGAAGUAGGUUUGUAAGGCGUUGCUUCAACUCAAGAAAAUCAAUGGCCACAAUUGGGAAGUUGACUGACAAUCCAAAGAGAGUGCCAAUUUUCAAUCUCGUGUUUAGGUGCUUACAUCAAUCUCGUGCAUAGUCUCGAUCACCACCACCGGGGCAGCUACUUCUGCUGGAGGGGCUGGGCGCCGCCGUGCGGAUGCUAUCACCCAUGCGCGCAGUGAUGGCAUGGUGGCCGAAGAAGGCCGUCUUCUGGGGAGCCGCGCGCUGGCCGCCAUCUCCACCCGCGGCCACACCAACAAGACAGGUGAUUUUAGGGUUGGUUCUGUCUGAAACCAAGCUGGCAGUAAUAUGCAGAGAAGGUUCGCCUGACAUAAUGACCAACGGAGCAAGUUGUUUUUUCUUGAUGAAAAUGAUAGCUACCACUUGAUGAGAUUUAGCAAUACAAGCAUUUCCUCUAAUUUUAUUUGUAGGUCUGCAGGAGGUGCCUUUGAGAACUUGAUCAGCUACUUGAGCUUCAUUGUCAGCGAAGUCUCCACUGGGUUGCCCAGAUCUGUCCUGAAUUGCUUCAUUGAUGACAAUUUGGAGAGGGCUCCGCUGACACUUACAAAGGAUGUUUUCCUUUGUUGGAAAGACGAGGAUACGCUGGAGAUAGACAUGGGGUGGUAAGAAAAUGAUGAGUUACUGAUGAUAUUAUGCUUGCUGGUCUAAACCUACAUGUAUUAUGUCAGUUUGUUGUUAAGAGUAUCUUGAAAAUAUAAAGCCACUGGAUGGCCAGGCAUUCUAUACUAUCGUCUUUCCAAGAGCCCACAUUUCUGCAUGUAUAUAUUUGUUGUACAGCCUAUGCUGGUUUGCCUAUAAUAAUUAUCAGAAGGUAAUAUGCAGCA